UGUGUCAGUAAACUUUACUGACGUAACAAACAAUGUUAUAGUUUUAAAAAUUUCAACAAUUAUCAUAGCCGUAAUAAUCAAUUAAAAUCUCUUAAUCUUUUUCUAUAUCUUUUGAAUACUUUUUGGUGUUUACAUACAUACACUUAAUUGCAAUUUAAGUUUAUGAUCAUUAAAGAAGGGUAAACACAAUGUGUUAUGUCUUUUUAAGAUAUCCAGAAUAAAAGAAUUUAC
rnacentral:sRNA from 1 species